GACAGAGGGUGCAAACGUUGUUCGGAAUUACGGGGCGUAAAGCGCGUGUAGGCGGCCCUGCAAGUCGGGUGUGAAAUCCCACGGCUCAACCGUGGAAGUGCAUUCGAAACUGCAGGGCUAGAGUCCUGGAGAGGAAGGUGGAAUGCUUGGUGUAGAGGUGAAAUUCGUAGAUAUCAAGCGGAACACCGGUGGCGAAGGCGGCCUUCUGGACAGUGACUGACGCUGAGACGCGAAAGCGUGGGGAGCAAACAGG
rnacentral:rRNA from 1 species